rnacentral:rRNA from 1 species
CGUAGUCGGAUUUUGGCUGAGAACGGUCGGUCCGCCGUUAGGUGUGCUUUGACUGGUCUCAGCUUCCUGGUGAGGAGGUGUGCUUCAUCGCCACUUAGUCACCGUGGUUACUUUGAAAAAAUUAGAGUGUUCAAAGCGGGCUUACGCUUGAAUAUAUUAGCAUGGAAUAACACCAUAGGACUCCUGUCCUAUUUCGUUGGUCUCGGGACGGGAGUAAUGAUUAAGAGGAACAGUUGGGGGCAUUCGUAUUUCAUUGUCAGAGGUGAAAUUCUUGGAUUUAUGAAAGACGAACUUCUGCGAAAGCAUUUGCCAAGGAUGUUUUCAUUGAUCAAGAACGAAAGUUGGGGGCUCGAAGAUGAUUAGAUACCAUCCUAGUCUCAACCAUAAACGAUGCCGACUAGGGAUUGGCGGAUGUUAAUUGAUGACUUCGCCAGCACCUUAUGAGAAAUCAAAGUUUUUGGGUUCCGGGGGGAGUAUGGUCGCAAGGCUGAAACUUAAAGGAAUUGACGGAAGGGCACCACCAGGCGUGGAGCCUGCGGCUUAAUUUGACUCAACACGGGGAAACUUACCAGGUCCAGACAUAGUAAGGA